rnacentral:pre_miRNA from 1 species
UUAGUACUCCCUCCGUCCCAAAAUUCUUGUCUUAGAUUUGUCUAGAUACGGAUGUAUCUAAUACUAAAACGUGACUUGAUACAUCCGUAUUUAGACAAAUCUAAGACAAGAAUUUUGGGACGGAGGGAGUACAAC